UAUUGAAGAUAAGGCUAAGAAAUGACCCAUUGUAGAUAGUUUUUUUUGUCAUCUCUAAAUUAAAUGUAAAACUUAAGAUAAAAUUAUCUUAUGAACCAUUGUACAUGGCUUUAAGUUACUCCCCAUUGUAACUAGUCUAAGGCCGAAGCAGCCCCCGAACGGCCAAACCCCUGGUCGCAGUCCAGAAAUGGCCGCCGCCGCGAAGCUCUCCGUCUCCAGCCAGGCCUUCGCGGCGCUCCUCGACUGCUGCGGGACCGCCGCCGGGGACUGCGACGGGCUACUCUUUGGCCGUGCCGCCCGCCCCACGGCUCCCCCUUCCUUCUCCGACGACGACGACUCCGGCGCCACCUCCUCCGCCCCAACCCUAUCCAUCUGUAUCACCGGCCACGCCUCGCUCGCCCGACCCUCCUCCCUCUCCGACGCCCUCGGCCGCUUCCAGCCCUACUCCCCCGCCCGCCCAGCCACCGUGGGCUUCUUCUCCUCCCGCCGCAGCGCGGCGCGCCGCCCCUCCAUGCGCGAGGUCGCCGUCGCCCGCUCCCUGUCUAAAUCAUUGGCCCUCACCCACCCCCUCGUGUUUCUGCUCGUAGCCCCCUCCGCCUCCUCCAACCUCUCCAUCCACUCGUUCGACUACCGCGCCUUCCUCCUCGUGGAUUCCCGCCUCUUCCCCACCUCCCUCCAGGUGGUCAACGUGGGCCCUGGUUUCCGGGGCCAAUACCACACCUUCGCGGCGGAGUCGCCAAUGCCGUGGCUGCCGCGUCCGCCGGCAAAGGGCUUCAGCAUCGGAGACCAGAAGGCGAUGGAGGGGAUGAUGGAUGCGUUCGGGCUGGGAAGGGUGGAGGCCUUGGUGGCCUCGGCCACGGGGCAAGCAACCGAGGUGGAGGAGAUGUAUUCUGGGAUGCUAAGGAGGCUGGAGAGGCUUGCUCGGGAGGCGGAGGGGGGCAAGAAGCUGGUGCGCCGUCAGGGAACCAAUACUGUGCACAUAUUUGAGUCAGAAUCCAAGGAAUUUUGGCAUUUUAGUUGACACACUGGAUAUAACUUAGGAAAGGAAGAACAUAUUGGAAAGGAGAAAAAUUGCUGGGUUGGAGUAAGGGCAGAGAUCUUGUUCUCGGCAAGCGUGUAGAGGUUCUGUAAGAGAGGUCGCAAGAUUUGAAGCCGGGAUCCUUGAACUGUAUCUUGAGUUGAAGUGCCUGCCUAUUUCCUCCUCUUUUUGGCUGGAUGCUUUCUGGACUUCCAAACCAGUAUCGCAUGUUUGUUCUUUUGAACAGAAGAUUCAGGGGUUCAAAGGAUGCGGAGACUAGGAUAGUAACUGUGAAACCAGUUCUUUUUUUCAUGCAUGCGAAUGUGAGACGUGGCAUCAUUUCGCCACCGCCCCUGGAUAGCUGAAUGCGUUAGUGUUCCAUGUUAUGCGGUUAAGCAGAUUCAAGUCCAGUCUGGAUUUGCCAUUCUAGUAUGCUUUUAUAUGCAAAAUGGAGCUGUACUUGGUGCC